rnacentral:rRNA from 1 species
GGUCAAGCUACAAAGGGCUCACGGAGGAUACCUUGGCACACAGAGGCGAUGAAGGACGUGGUUACCUGCGAUAAGUCUCGGGGAGCUGGAUACACGCUUUGAUCCGGGAAUUUCCGAAUGGGGCAACCCCAUGUACGGCCAACUGAAUAUAUAGGUUGGUGCGAGCUAACCCAGCGAACUGAAACAUCUUAGUAGCUGGAGGAAGAGAAAGUAAAUAACGACUCCCUAAGUAGCGGCGAGCGAACGGGGACUAGCCCAAACCGAUAGUUUCGACUAUCGGGGUUGUGGGACAGAAACGUGGACUAACAAGCCUAGAAGAAGCGCUUGAAUGGCGCGCCACAGAGGGUGAAAGCCCCGUAAUCGAAAGAUAAGUUGACCUAGCUGUAUCCCGAGUAGCACGGAGCACGUGGAAUUCCGUGUGAAUCUGCGAGGACCACCUCGUAAGGCUAAGUACUCCUGUGUGACCGAUAGUGAAACAGUACCGUGAGGGAAAGGUGAAAAGAACCCCGGGAGGGGAGUGAAAUAGAACAUGAAACCAUGAGCCUACAAGCAAUGGGAGCCCGACUUAUCGGGUGACCGUGUGCCUGUUGAAGAAUGAGCCGGCGACUUAUAUGCACUGGCGGGUUAAACCGAGAAUGGUGGAGCCAUAGCGAAAGCGAGUCUGAAUAGGGCGUUUUGUCAGUGUUUAUAGACCCGAACCCUGGUGAUCUAACCAUGGCCAGGAUGAAGCUUGGGUGAUACCAAGUGGAGGUCCGAACCGACUGAAGUUGAAAAUUCAGCGGAUGAGCUGUGGU